AAAAAGAAAAGAACACCUCUGUAAUUAAAAAUCCAAAAGGGAGGCUUAGGCAAAAAUGAGCGUCUCGGUGGGUUGAAAACUCAAAAGGGCGAUCCAGGAAAAAAUUAGAGACAUAAAAUAGAAAAUUUAUCCCGAUAAAUUGAGUACCCAACCUUGGGGAAAUUUAUGCAAUAGUUAGGGAACAUGGUAAGUAACUGCAAAUUGUUGAUCUUUAGUUUUCA
rnacentral:lncRNA from 1 species